AACGAACGCUGGCGGCAGGCCUAACACAUGCAAGUCGAACGCCCUCUUUUAGAGGGAGUGGCAGACGGGUGAGUAACGCGUGGGAACCUACCUAGUGGUACGGAACAACACAGAGAAAUUUGUGCUAAUACCGUAUAAGCCCCUUCGGGGGGAAAGAUUUAUCGCCAUUGGAUGGGCCCGCGUUUGAUUAGCUAGUUGGUGAGGUAAUGGCUCACCAAGGCGACGAUCAAUAGCUGGUCUGAGAGGAUGAUCAGCCACACUGGGACUGAGACACGGCCCAGACUCCUACGGGAGGCAGCAGUGGGAAUAUUGGACAAUGGGCGCAAGCCUGAUCCAGCCAUGCCGCGUGAGUGAUGAAGGCCCUAGGGUUGUAAAGCUCUUUCAACGGUGAAGAUAAUGACGGUAACCGUAGAAGAAGCCCCGGCUAACUUCGUG
rnacentral:rRNA from 1 species